GACGAACGCUGGCGGCGUGCUUAACACAUGCAAGUCGAACGGAAAGGCCCUGCUUUUGUGGGGUGCUCGAGUGGCGAACGGGUGAGUAACACGUGAGUAACCUGCCCUUGACUUUGGGAUAACUUCAGGAAACUGGGGCUAAUACCGGAUAGGAGCUCCUGCUGCAUGGUGGGGGUUGGAAAGUUUCGGCGGUUGGGGAUGGACUCGCGGCUUAUCAGCUUGUUGGUGGGGUAGUGGCUUACCAAGGCUUUGACGGGUAGCCGGCCUGAGAGGGUGACCGGCCACAUGGGGAUGGGAAUGCGCCCCGGACCCGACCGGGAGGGGACGGGGGGGAAUUUAGUAAAAGGGGCGGAGCCCUGGCCCAGACCCGCCGCGGGGGGGAAGAGGGCCUGGGGUUAGUAACCCCUUUCCCCUUGUCCCGAGGCGGGAGUGACGGUACUGGGAAAAGAAGCCCCGGCUAACUCCGUG
rnacentral:rRNA from 1 species